rnacentral:rRNA from 1 species
ACUGCCGGUGACAAACCGGAGGAAGGUGGGGAUGACGUCAAGUCCUCACUGGCCCUUAUAGGUGGGGCUACACACGUCAUACAAUGGCUGGUACAAAGGGUUGCCAACCCGCGAGGGGGAGCCAAUCCCAUAAAGCCAGUCGUAGUCCGGAUCGCAGUCUGCAACUCGACUGCGUGAAGUCGGAAUCGCUAGUAAUCGUGGAUCAGCAUGUCACGGUGAAUACGUUCCCGGGUCUU